GCAGUCAUAGUAUAGUUUGGUUAUUAUUCUAGCUUGCCAAGUUAGUGACCCGGGUUCAAAUCCCGGUGACUGCA
rfam:Candidatus Nitrosopelagicus brevis strain CN25, complete genome.